rnacentral:rRNA from 1 species
AGACAGGUGGUGCAUGGUUGUCGUCAGCUCGUGUCGUGAGAUGUUGGGUUAAGUCCCGCAACGAGCGCAACCCUACGUUAGUUGCUAACGCGUGAAGGCGAGCACUCUAGACGAACUGCCGUUGACAAAACGGAGGAAGGUGGGAUGACGUCAAAUCAUCAUGCCCCUUAUGUUCUGGGCUACACACGUGCUACAAUGGCCGGUACAGACGGACGCAAAGCCGCGAGGUGGAGCAAAUCCUAAAAAGCCGGUACUCAGUUCGGAUUGCAGGCUGCAAUUCGCCUGCAUGAAGUCGGAAUCGCUAGUAAUCGCAGGUCAGCAUACUGCGGUGAAUACGUUCCCGGGCCUU